rnacentral:rRNA from 1 species
AGAGUUUGAUCCUGGCUCAGAGUGAACGCUGGCGGCAUGGCUCAGACAUGCAAGUCGAACGCCUCGCAAGAGGAGUGGCAAACGGGUGCGUAACACGUGAGCAACCUACCUUAAAGUGGGGGAUAGCCCAGGGAAACUUGGAUUAAUACCGCAUGUGGUCGGCCUUCGCAUGGAGGCUGUACUAAAGCUUGUAAUGGCGCUUUAAGAGGGGCUCGCGCCCUAUCAGCUCGUUGGUGAGGUAACGGCUCACCAAGGCUAAGACGGGUAGCUGGUCUGAGAGGAUGAUCAGCCACACUGGGACUGAGACACGGCCCAGACACCUACGGGUGGCAGCAGUUUCGAGUCAUUCACAAUGGGCGAAAGCCUGAUGAUGCAAUGCCGCGUGGGGGAUGAAGGUUUUCGGAUCGUAAACCCCUGUCAUCAAGGAACAAAAACCGGUGAAGAGCCGGCUUGAGCUAACUUGAAGAGGAAGAGGUGGCUAACUCCGUGCCAGCAGCCGCGGUAAUACGGAGACCUCGAGCGUUACUCGGAUUCACUGGGCGUAAAGGGAGCGCAGGCGGCUGUGUGUGUCAGGUGUGAAAGCCCAGGGCUC